AGGGAAUCUUCCGCAAUGGACGAAAGUCUGACGGAGCAACGCCGCGUGAGUGAUGAAGGUUUUCGGAUCGUAAAGCUCUGUUGCCAGGGAAGAACGUCUUCUGGAGUAACUGCCAGGAGAGUGACGGUACCUGAGAAGAAAGCCCCGGCUAACUACGUGCCAGCAGCCGCGGUAAUACGUAGGGGGCAAGCGUUGUCCGGAAUUAUUGGGCGUAAAGCGCGCGCAGGCGGCUGUUUAAGUCUGGGUGUUAAUCCUGGGGCUCAACCCCGGGUCGCACUGGAAACUGGACGGCUUGAGUGCAGAAGAGGAGAGUGGAAUUCCACGUGUAGCGGUGAAAUGCGUAGAGAUGUGGAGGAACACCAGUGGCGAAGGCGACUCUCUGGGCUGUAACUGACGCUGAGGCGCGAAAGCGUGGGGAGCAAAC
rnacentral:rRNA from 1 species